CCCCUGGUGGUCUAGUGGUUGGGAUGCAGUGCUCUCACUACCACGGCCCGGGUUCAAUUCCCAGUCAGGGGA
rnacentral:tRNA from 1 species